CCGUCGGUCGACGUACGUCAGAGAGGUUUGAUUCUGGCUCAGGACGAACGCUGGCGGCGUGCCUAACACAUGCAAGUCGAGCGAUGAAGUCCUUCGGGAACGGAUUAGCGGCGGACGGGUGAGUAACACGUGGGUAACCUGCCUCAAAGAGGGGGAUAGCCUCCCGAAAGGGAGAUUAAUACCGCAUAACAUUAUAUUCUCGCAUGAGAAGAUAAUCAAAGGAGCAAUCCGCUUUGAGAUGGACCCGCGGCGCAUUAGCUAGUUGGUGAGGUAACGGCUCACCAAGGCGACGAUGCGUAGCCGACCUGAGAGGGUGAUCGGCCACAUUGGAACUGAGACACGGUCCAGACUCCUACGGGAGGCAGCAGUGGGGAAUAUUGCGCAAUGGGGGAAACCCUGACGCAAGCAACGCCGCGUGAGUGAUGAAGGUCUUCGGAUUGUAAAGCUCUGUCUUUGGGGACGAUAAUGACGGUACCCAAGGAGGAAGCCACGGCUAACUACGUGCCAGCAGCCGC
rnacentral:rRNA from 1 species